UACGGAGGGCGCUAGCGUUGUUCGGAAUUACUGGGCGUAAAGCGCGCGUAGGCGGCUUUGUAAGUUAGAGGUGAAAGCCCGGAGCUCAACUCCGGAACUGCCUUUAAGACUGCAUCGCUUGAAUCCAGGAGAGGUGAGUGGAAUUCCGAGUGUAGAGGUGAAAUUCGUAGAUAUUCAGAAGAACACCAGUGGCGAAGGCGGCUCACUGGACUGGUAUUGACGCUGAGGAGCGAAAGCGUGGGGAGCGAACAGG
rnacentral:rRNA from 1 species